AUUGAACGCUGGCGGCAUGCUUUACACAUGCAAGUCGAACGGCAGCGCGGGCUUCGGCCUGGCGGCGAGUGGCGAACGGGUGAGUAAUGCAUCGGAACGUGCCCAGUAGUGGGGGAUAGCCCGGCGAAAGCCGGAUUAAUACCGCAUACGACCUGAGGGUGAAAGCGGGGGACCGAAAGGCCUCGCGCUAUUGGAGCGGCCGAUGUCGGAUUAGCUAGUUGGUGGGGUAAAGGCUUACCAAGGCGACGAUCCGUAGCUGGUCUGAGAGGACGACCAGCCACUCUGGGACUGAGACACGGCCCAGACUCCUACGGGAGGCAGCAGUGGGGAAUUUUGGACAAUGGGGGCAACCCUGAUCCAGCCAUGCCGCGUGCGGGAAGAAGGCCUUCGGGUUGUAAACCGCUUUUGUUCGGGAAGAAAUCCUCUGGGCUAAUACCCCGGGGGGAUGACGGUACCGGAAGAAUAAGCACCGGCUAACUACGUG
rnacentral:rRNA from 1 species